GAUGAACGCUGGCGGCGUGCCUAAUACAUGCAAGUCGAGCGAACAGACGAGGAGCUUGCUCCUCUGACGUUAGCGGCGGACGGGUGAGUAACACGUGGAUAACCUACCUAUAAGACUGGGAUAACUUCGGGAAACUGGAGCUAAUACCGGAUAAUAUAUUGAACCGCAUGGUUCAAUAGUGAAAGACGGUUUUGCUGUCACUUAUAGAUGGAUCCGCGCCGCAUUAGCUAGUUGGUAAGGUAACAGCUUACCAAGGCAACGAUGCGUAGCCGACCUGAGAGGGUGAUCGGCCACACUGGAACUGAGACACGGUCCAGACUCCUACGGGAGGCAGCAGUAGGGAAUCUUCCGCAAUGGGCGAAAGCCUGACGGAGCAACGCCGCGUGAGUGAUGAAGGUCUUCGGAUCGUAAAACUCUGUUAUUAGGGAAGAACAAAUGUGUAAGUAACUAUGCACGUCUUGACGGUACCUAAUCAGAAAGCCACGGCUAACUACGUG
rnacentral:rRNA from 1 species